UAUAAGUGCAAUCAUAAGUUUCCACGUCUAAUUUUGAUCGUUCGUCUUAUUUGAAAAAUCUUUAUAAUUAAUUUUUUAUUGUUAUGAGAUGAUAAAAUAUAAAUAGUAUUUUACUCGUGACUUAUGUUUUUAAUUUUUUUCAAAAAAAUUUUAAAUAAGAUGGACGGUUAAAGUUGGGCGCGGAAAACCAUAAGUGCACUUAUA
rfam:Oryza glumipatula chromosome 10, whole genome shotgun sequence.